rnacentral:lncRNA from 1 species
UGUUGGUUUUAUUGUUUGAAAAUAUGUAAAUCCUAUCUCUUUUUUUUUUGCUAUGAACGUGUUUAGAUUUUCCUGAGGUGCAGGAAUUCUUCAGUGCUGACUACUCCUAGAACAGCAUAACUGAUGUAACCCUUUCCCUGCUGUUGACAUGUGUCACAUCACAUUAGUGAUUAAAAAUGCAUCAUUUCUUGGAAUCCAAUGUUAAGAUUCUGGGGGGUCUCCUGUGGGGCAGGCUGAGACCGUCCUCCAUAGAAAGGAAACUGGCCCUUGUCUGGGGUCUGAGAACUUGGCUGGUGACCAGCUGCCCAAGCUCUUAUAACAUCUUCCCUGAAUGGUAAGAGUGGCUCACUGAGCCUGACCAGUGCACGCAGAAUGGUCUGUGCUGAACUUUCUUUCUGGAGGUCUUGAGUGUGGGUAUGAGCUAGACAGUGGGUGCCUAUGUGACCAGCCCCCAGUGAAGAUGCUGGGUGCUGAGUCUUUAACGUGCUUCUCUGGAAGACAGCAUUCCCAUAUGUUAUCAGGACACAUUGCUGGCAAGUGUGUCCUGUGCAACCUCACUGGGAGAGAAUGCUUGGAAACUUGCAUCUAAUUUUCUUCCAAAUUCUUUCCUUUCUCUGAUUUUGCAUUUUAUCCUUUAACUGUAAGAAAUGUUAGCUAUGAGUACAACUAUAUGCUGAGUCCUGGGAGUCAUUAUGGGAGUGUUGAAUCUUGGGGAUCCCUGAAAUCCCCCUGACAUAGGAAUGUAGGCCUAGGAUUAUAAAGGAUAUCUUAAGUGCCUUAUACUUUGUCUACAAAGAAGUGUCUAUGAAAGAGCGCUUGUGGGGAAUGGGUUAAUAGGAGUGUUUAGAAGAAACCCAGCAUUGAAAAUGGACCACUGAUCACCCUUCCCCCAAAGUCAGUGUAUUUUCCCAUCUCCUCUCCCCAAAUCUAUAAGUGAAGAACAGCCUUUCACAAGUAGCCUGUCAUUUGUAUUUCUUACCCUCUAAAGCCUUGUAAGUUUUUUGUGUUUUUUUUG